GUCCUUUUGUACCUCAAAUGUGCAACUUUUGGUUGUGCAUGGCACCGCGCUGGGCAGGAGAGCAGGACCACAGGUUAAGAAAGAAGAAAAAAUCAACCAAUGACAGACGUCCUUGGUCCCACAGCAAGGAGCACAAAACACAGGCGAUGUUCAGCGCAUGCGCAGUAUAAAAAAAGAGUCCAGAGCCGAACAGCUUGCUCUUCUCCUGUCGCCUGUACGCAAUAACACUUCGACAUCGAUGCACCGGUCGGAAAAGCGCCGGUAAAAGGCUCUUCAUUCGGAAGCCUUGUCCUGGAGGCGGGAAAUACGCGCAACGUGAUAUGUGACGACUAUUGUAAACACACUCGAAUGUUUUGCUGGCCUGUUAAAGGAAUGCCGGCACAAGAGUUGCUUAUUUGAAGCUCCAGGAUGUUGUGUGAAGUCGUGCUGUCGUCGGUAUGGCUCCUGUUCGUUAUCUUCUGGGUAGAGACAAUAAGCGUUUGGCUCUUUUUGUCAAUGUUCUACCAGGACCGGGCAUUUUACCACUGGGGAGAUGGUAGAGCGAGAGAAGAAAAGAUUUUUGCAGGUGACCCUAGAGAGAUGAUAUACAUGUUGAACAGAGUUGAUAACCACAUACAGACAGAGAUGCAGACCUGAGCUGGAACAAGAUGAAGAACUCCACUUAAGGGACACAAGAGAGGCUUUGGCAUUGACUGACAAAAAAAAUUAUGGAGAGCAGUAGCUGUUUUUUCUUUGGAGUGACUUCCUUGCACGCUGUGAUGCACAGUCAACAUCAUUACAUGUAGCACCCCUUUUAAUAACAAGUGGUGUAGAGCUGCAGCAUGAGUGAAUGUAAUGUGAGGUCCUCAGUGGUUGACAUUUCUAUUUUCACUUCAAGAUUAUGUAAAAGCAGAAUGAAUGUAGCAGAAAGUGUUUAGUUCGUUUGUUGUGGGUUUUCCACUCCAUUUUUAGAAAAUAGUGUUUCGUUAAUACUACCGUUCUAUGCAACUACAGUUGUUACUGUAUGCUUUAAGUUGUGGCCUUUAUCUGCAGAUGGAUUUUGCUCAGUUCAUAUGUCUCUAUUCUGAUAUAACACUGCUUAUUACGUGAAUGAAAUUCCAUAGGGAGGACACGUAACUCAGCCACCUCACUAGCAACUACAAAAGCUAAUUGAAAGCCCUAAAAUUAGAUAUUGUGUUACAAUUUUUACCCUGAAAUGAGCAACAUGUUCUGUAUACAUAUUAUUUCAAAUGCAGUAUGCCAAAAAUAUCCAGAUGUUUGACUGCUUUAGGUCACAUUUCACAAUAUGCAAACCAGCAUAUUGAGCAAGUAAAAGGAAGAGGGUCCGGGUUCAUUGUUAUGAUGGAGUCUGUGCCACUUGAAUGUAUAGUUUGUAAGGGCAGCUGCAGCAUUUACUUAAAGUAAAAAGAAAAGUGUGAUUUGGAGCACAAUCCUGAUGUUACAUUAGGCCUAUGUCUCCGAAGACAAUCAUAAUAGUGGGUUAGAGUAUGUUCCAUUUUAGGAAUCCAAUCUUUGUGCAAUAUGUCAGUGCUAUAUCUAGCAAAUGAAAUAAAAGUGAUAUUUUAGUUUAAAUACACAACUCUUUUCAAGCCCGUACAAAAUCAGCCAAUAAGUAGUGUUAACAACCGGUAGACAAACAUUGUCAAUAUUGUUUUGUAAAAAAAUGCUGAAUAAAUUUAUUUUUGAGUGCAAUUAUUUUCCCGAGUGCCACGUUAUUCAGCAGCGCGCGCGCCUGGUCGGCA
ensembl:lncRNA